CACUUUUACAAUUAGGCAUAAGUGCUAAGGUUUAAUAGUUAUAUAUGUUAUAUAUGAUUUCCGCCAUUGAUAUUGCCCAAUUCAUAAGCUAUGCGUUACUAUAAUGUUAAACCUGUAUGCAUAUCAGAGCAAUAUGCCGAGUGUUUGUCACGGCUUGGUAAAUGUAUCAUCUUAAGAAGAUUUGAGGAACACACACACACACACACACACACACAAACACACACACAUACAUACACACACACACACACACACACACACACACACACACACACAAGCAAACACACUGACACACCCGCUCACUUCAAACAGAUUUGAAUAUUGAUUUAGAUUUAUAAACAGAGACAGACCGUGGGUUUUAUGAAUCGUCAGUCGCCUCUGUAGCAGUCUUUUUAGAGUAGCAUAGCAUAUGUCAAAAGUGCAGUAUUGAACAUGGACUAAUCAAACAUUUAUGUAGGCUAAUUUCUUUUUACAGACUGAUUAAUGGAAAUUAUCGUGGAUCACGCUCUCUGACAUUUUAACGCCUAACGUCUGUCACGGACUCAACUUGUUUUCUUUUUGGUUGGAGCAAAGUUUCCCAACAUGAUCAAAUUUAUGACCGGGCUUUCUUAGCAGCUCUCUGUCCUUGCGAGAUGGAGGAAUGGCAUGUUAAGAGCCUCUGCAACAAACACAUGGAAUCAAUUUAAUAGACUCUCCUUCAGACCAUCUAAAUGAGGGAGCAAAGUCAAGACCCGUGGAAAUCCAACAAGGACAAAUUAUACAGGAUAAAAAAUAAAACUCAAGGUGAAGCCAGAUUCAUACUUUGUUUCUGUUCAUAAGGUCACUGUAGGAGCAAUGCCUCAAUAUUCGCUCUUGAGUGUGACUCAUGAGUGUUAAGAUGUUAUAUUAAAAUGAUUUUAAUUGAUGAUAUGUCAUGCCAAUAUUUUUAAUGCUAUUCAUGCAUCAAGUCCAUUGUACUCAAACUCGUGUGUUUGGUUUUACAACAACCUGGUUGACUAAUAGUAAGGCUGACUUACCCUCCAGCCAAAAGCAGUGUGAAAAUAAAUAUAUCUUUGCUUACUUAACUGCCAAGCAGCAGUACCUUCUGCAACCAGCCAUCCUGUGGACCUGAGCAUACAUGUACAGGGCAUGCUAGUUCUCUCUCUCACUCACUCUUAUUUUCUCUUCCUAUCUUUUUCUCUCUCAAGUAACUCACUUUCUAAGUGAGGCCCUCUCUUUCCCCCAUCCUCCCAGUGUUAGGCUAGCCCUCGCUCUAACCCAACCACCCUGUGCAAUCUUAGCCAUCUCUCCCCCACCCUACCUGUGCUAGGCUAGCCCUCUCUCUCCCCCACCCUCCCAGUGCUAGGGCUAGACCUCCCCCCCACCCUCCCAGUGCUAGGUUAGACCUCUCUCUCCCCCACCCUCCCAGUGUUAGGCUAGACCUCUCUCCCCCACCCUCCUAGUGUUAGGCUAGACCUCUCUCUCCCCCACCCUCCCAGUGUUAGACUAGACCUCUCUCUCCCCCACCCUCCCAGUGCUAAGCUAGACCUCUCUCUCCCCCACCCUCCCAGUGUUAGACUAGACCUCUCUCUCCCCCACCCUCCCAGUGCUAAGCUAGACCUCUCUCUCCCCCACCCUCCCAGUGUUAGGCUAGACCUCUCUCUCCCCCAUCCUCCCAGUGUUAGGCUAGACCUCUCUCUCCCCCACCCUCCCAGUGUUAGACUAGACCUCUCUCACCCCCACCCUCCCAGUGCUAAGCUAGACCUCUCUCUCCCCCACCCUCCCAGUGUUAGACUAGACCUCUCUCUCCCCCACCCUCCCAGUGCUAAGCUAGACCUCUCUCUCCCCCACCCUCCCAGUGUUAGGCUAGUCCUCUCUCUCCCCCAUCCUCCAACUGUUAGGCAAGCCCUCUCUCUCCCCCACCCUCCCAGUGUUAGGCUAGCCCUCUCUCUCCCCCACCCUCCCAGUGUUAGGCUAGCCCAAUCUCUAUCCUGGGGUUGAGGGGUCUGUCUGUGCCUGGCAUGGUAAAACCUGCCCUGCAGACUGGACCUCUCCGUUACAGAGUUCAAAGGAGUAAAAACUCAAUGUGGAGGAUUUGUUCAGGCUUAUUUGGUAACCUAGGAUUUGAAUUGGAUUCCGGGAAGCAUUCAUAACACAUUUGAAAAUGUUACAUUGUGUGAUUUUGUGUGUAAUCCCCAUAAUGCAUUUAAGAAAUGGGCACAGCGCGCUUGCACAACUGUGAUUAUUCAUGAUUCCUAUCAAAUGGUUUCUUGUCUUGCCUCUCAGGGUGAGGUGAGUGUUAGAGGGAUUGAUGAGAUCUCAGGCCUUGGGAGAGAGAGCCAGUUAAGUGGUGGUUUUUCCAUGUUAACCUCCUGUGCAGGUCUGUUUUGUUUGUCAGACCUGAAUAUGGAUGGGGGUCAGCUACCAGGCUCCCUGAGGUAUUCUGUCAGGCCUCCUGACAGCAGUGGAGCAUUUAAACCCCCAGUGGAUUAUACCUCCCUGUGAGAAAGGAGAGUGAAAGAGAAAAGUGCUCCUGUGUGAGUCAGUCUGUGUUUGUGCCUUUUCCAAACCCCACUUUCCUUUGACUGACACUUUGGCGAUGCCCACAGCUCCCUGCUUCGACUUCUCAAGUGUACCCCCUGUUAGUGCCGACGCUGCCAAUUCCUCUCAUGUCUUUAAUAUCUCUCUUUGGGCCUUCGCGUUUUGCCAGUCAAGGCUCCCCCAUGACAGUUGGACGUUGCUGCCGUCACAUUUUGGAGACAGUGCUGGGUGGGUGUUUGUUGCGUUCCCAGCCCCUAGCCUGGAGGGUUUUUUUGGGACGGCUGGCCCGUCAGUCAGCCACUCCCCUGUAAUUAGAUGAGCAAACACGGAGGCGGCCUGGCCUGAGAGGGCGGGGAGGGGGGUGAGCUGCACCGCCAGUUCACACUUUGAACAGGGAUGUUUUCUGUAAAGCUCGUCUUCCCUACGUAAGGAAGGUUUAGCUAUAACAUUGUGUAAGAUCUAGAAAAUGCUGUCACUAGCUCAUUUACAAAUGCCAUAAAUCUAGAUUUGUUUUGUGUGGCUGAAAUGGGGUACAGUUUUAAGAGAAAUUUAGAGAAUACCAUUUUCGGAAUUUCUUAGUUGAAUAUGUUAUUUUCUGUAUUUCAUAUAAAUGUUGAAUAAAAAACAACUGUCCUGCAUAGUGUUUGAAUCUCUAAAUGAAUCAGCUAAAUACGAUUAGUCCUAUGUUUGUCCCAUAUUUGUUUUGUGCAAUUACGAUAUCAAGCUGAACUGAAUGUUGAAACAUUUAUUUUGCCAUUUUGGAAUCACUGAACACUGAAGAUGUUUCUGAAUACUUAAAAAACCUUUUAUAGAUGACACCAUGGUUAAGGAUCAUCAAAAUAUUGUGAAUAAAUAUAAGUGAGAAGGUUACAGACCCUCCCCUUAAGAUUCAGUCUGGGAGUUUUGCGAUUAACAAAAAGCAUGUAAUAUGUUGUUUAUAUGUGUGUAAUUUGUAGAAGAAUUCCUACCAUGCCUCAGUUAGCUUUUACAUUCCAAGUUUGAAAUGAUCUUGAUGACAUGGGGCACAAAUCAGCAAGUACAUGACAAUAGUAGAAAAUGUUCACGGACAAUUCUUGGCUCGACAGUGGCAAUUUGACAACCUGUUGCCAGAAAUCGUGCACUUUAUCUUUCGAAAAUGUUACUUUAAUCUUUAAUCUGGCUGGUUAAUGUAGAGGUCUACACCCUUUUCAAAAAUACAUUGGAUGUUGAGUCAAUUUGAUCAAUUAAGAAUGGACAAUUAAUUUUGUAUUAUUUGUUUAAUCAGGUUCACCAUAUCUAUUUUUGAAAGUCUCAGUGGCAAAACAUCUGACCAGUAACUAGAUACUUUAAUUCACAGCCUUUCUGACCAGUAACUAGAUACUUUAACUCGCAGCCUAUCUGACCAGUAACCAGAUUGCCUGUGGGUUAGAGUAUUUAAUCAGUAACCACACUGGCUAGUGAUUAGAACAUCUGGCCAGUAACCAGACCAGUAACCAGAUAGCCUAUUAGUUGAAAUCUCAAGCCAGGAAACAUUUGUAAUUUUGUACUUAAGCAAGGUUGAUAAUCAUAAUUGCUCCUGUCACUAUGUCUGAAAAUGUUGGUUAUGUUUAGAAGUGUUUUCACACCAAUGUACUGGUCCAAAAAUGUUUAUUCUAUCUUCUGGAGAGGACUAGAGUGUUUUUGACAAGCCUGUCUCUGGACAAAAUUAUUAGAAUUUUCUCCCCCCAUGGGCAACUCAUUUUGUUUCACUGUAUGUGUAGUAUAAAUACUCUUCCACUGUUUCAAUGUUUUGCAAACAAUUACUUGAGGAUAUUUCAAUAUAUAUGCCGGCAAGCAUUAAUAAAGCAUUAAUAAAGUGUUAAUAAUGAAUCAAUAAAAA
ensembl:lncRNA